rnacentral:rRNA from 1 species
AGAAUCAACGCUGGCGGCGUGCCUAACACAUGCAAGUCGCACGAGAAAGGGUAGCAAUACCUGAGUAAAGUGGCGCACGGGUGAGUAACACGUGAAUUAUCUACCUCCGAGUGGGGAAUAACUGAGAGAAAUCUUAGCUAAUACCGCAUAACACUUACGAGUCAAAGCAGCAAUGCGCUUGGAGAGGAGUUCGCGGCCGAUUAGUUAGUUGGCGGGGUAAUGGCCCACCAAGACGAUGAUCGGUAUCCGGCCUGAGAGGGCGCACGGACACACUGGAACUGAAACACGGUCCAGACUCCUACGGGAGGCAGCAGUGGGGAAUUUUUGCGCAAUGGGGGGAAACCCUGACGCAGCAACGCCGCGUGGAGGAUGAAAUAUCUUGGUAUGUAAACUCCUUUCGAUGGGGAAGAUUAUGACGGUACCCAUAGAAGAAGCCCCGGCUAACUUCGCGCCAGCAGCCGC